rnacentral:rRNA from 1 species
GAUGAACGCUGACAGAAUGCUUAACACAUCAGCAAUUGAUUGGUGGCGGACGGGUGAGUAACGCGUACAGAACUUGCCUCACAGGUAGGGCCGACAUUUGGAAACGAAUGCUACUACCUAAUACUGUGAGAGAGCUUUGCGUCCCAUUAGCUAGUUGGAGAGGUAACGGCUCACCAAGGCGAUGAUGGGUAGCCGGCCUGAGAGGGUGAUCGGCCAAAAGGGGACUGAGACACGGCCCUUACGCCGACGGGAGGCAGCAGGGGGGAAUAAGGGACAAAGGACCAAAGGCUGAUCCAGCAAUUCGGUGUGCAAGAUGAAGUUUUCGGAAUGUAAAGUGCUUUCAGUUGGGAAGCGGUACCAACAGAAGAAGUGACGGCUAAAUACGUGCCAGCAGCCGCGGUAAUUC